GCGGCAGGCCUAAUACAUGCAAGUCGAGCGGCAAGUCGAGGAGUAAUCUGAGACCUAGAGCGGCGUACGGGUGCGUAACGCGUAUGCAACCUACCUCAUACAGGGGGAUAGCCCGGAGAAAUCUGGAUUAAUACCCCAUGGCACAGCACAAGGGCAUCUGCGAGCUGUUAAAGAUUCAUCGGUAUGAGAUGGGCAUGCGUCUGAUUAGCUAGUUGGCGGUGUAACGGACCACCAAGGCGACGAUCAGUAGGGGUUCUGAGAGGAAGGUCCCCCACACUGGCACUGAGAUACGGGCCAGACUCCUACGGGAGGCAGCAGUAGGGAAUAUUGGGCAAUGGACGAGAGUCUGACCCAGCCAUGCCGCGUGCAGGAAGACGGCGUUCUGCGUUGUAAACUGCUUUUAUCUGGGAAGAAAAAGUCCAUGCGUGGAAAAUUGCCGGUACCAGAUGAAUAAGCACCGGCUAACUCCGUGCCAGCAGCCGCGGUAAUACGGAGGGUGCAAGCGUUGUCCGGAUUUAUUGGGUUUAAAGGGUGCGUAGGCGGCUAUUUAAGUCAGCGGUGAAAGACAUCGGCUCAACCGAUGCAGUGCCAUUGAUACUGGAUAGCUUGAGUGUUGGAGGGGUACAUGGAAUUGAUGGUGUAGCGGUGAAAUGCAUAGAUACCAUCAGGAACACCGAUAGCGAAGGCAUUGUACUGGCCAACAACUGACGCUGAGGCACGAAAGCAUGGGUAGCGAACAGGAUUAGAUACCCUGGUAGUCCAUGCCGUAAACGAUGAUUACUCGCUGUUAUGCCGUAGGGUGUAGCGGCCAAGCGAAAGCGUUAAGUAAUCCACCUGGGGAGUACGCCGGCAACGGUGAAACUCAAAGGAAU
rnacentral:rRNA from 1 species